GUGGGGAUGCCGGAGUGGCCAAACGGGCUGGCUUUAAGCGCCAGUAGCUUUAUGCUUACGGGGGUUCGAAUCCUCCUCCCCACA
rnacentral:tRNA from 1 species